rnacentral:rRNA from 1 species
UACGGAGGGGGCUAGCGUUGUUCGGAAUUACUGGGCGUAAAGCGCACGUAGGCGGCUUUGUAAGUUAGAGGUGAAAGCCCGGGGCUCAACUCCGGAAUUGCCUUUAAGACUGCAUCGCUAGAAUUGUGGAGAGGGAAGCGGAAUUCCUGGUGUAGCGGUGAAAUGCGCAGAUAUCAGGAGGAACACCGAUGGCGAAGGCAGCUUACUGGGCCGAUACUGACGCUGGAGGAAGCGAAAGGCGUGGGGAGCAA